GACGAACGCUGGCGGCGUGCCUAAUACAUGCAAGUUGAGCGCUGAAGGUUGGUACUUGUCCCAACUGGAUGAGCAGCGAACGGGUGAGUAACGCGUGGGGAAUCUGCCUUUGAGCGGGGGACAACAUUUGGAAACGAAUGCUAAUACCGCAUAAAAACUUUAAACACAAGUUUUAAGUUUGAAAGAUGCAAUUGCAUCACUCAAAGAUGAUCCCGCGUUGUAUUAGCUAGUUGGUGAGGUAAAGGCUCACCAAGGCGAUGAUACAUGGCCGACCUGAGAGGGGGAUCGGCCACAUUGGGACUGAGACACGGCCCAAACUCCUACGGGAGGCAGCAGUAGGGAAUCUUCGGCAAUGGACGGAAGUCUGAACGAGCAACGCCGCGUGAGUGAAGAAGGUUUUCGGAUCGUAAAACUCUGUUGGUAGAGAAGAACGUUGGUGAGAGUGGAAAGCUCAUCAAGUGACGGUAACUACCCAGAAAGGGACGGCUAACUACGUG
rnacentral:rRNA from 1 species